UAAAACUACACUUUGAGUUUAAAUUCGGGGUACUGAAUGAGCAGAAAGCAAAUGAAAUUGUUCACAGGAACUGGUGCCAAUCAAGUAGCGAGUAAUACCCACAAUGCUGGAGAAUCGAGGUAAUGAAAAAAAUUAGAGCAGCCAAACUGGAGAGCCGAAUAGCCGACAAUAAAGGCACAGGACCCGCCGCACAACCACUCAGUGACCCAACCACUAAUGAAACCACUCUGCACCGCAGAGCAAAAUGAUACACAGCAAAAUAAAACGGGAAUCGGGGGACGACCAACUAAUUGGGAAUGCUGGCCGACAUGCGAAUGAGGUCAGAUGGCGGGUUUUCCCACAGACAGUCCGGUGUUGAAGGAAAUUCUGGAAACACUGCUGGACAUCGUGGCUCAUGGCUCAUGUGACCUGGCUCAUGACCUGUGGGUGGUGGGCCGUUUUGGGUGGCCUUUCGUUUCGAGUGGCUGACAGCUGUUUGUUGCGCUUAAAAUCGUUUAGUUUUAAUUAAAAUUGCAAAAAUUUACUGUGUGA